AACGAACGCUGGCGGCGUGCCUAACACAUGCAAGUCGAACGAGAAAGGGGCUUCGGCUCCGAGUAAAGUGGCGCACGGGUGAGUAACACGUGGGUAACCUGCCUCUAAGAUUGGGAUAACUCGUCGAAAGAUGAGCUAAUACCGGAUAAGACCCCAGUUCCCGCGGGAACAGGGGUCAAAGGUAGCCUCUGCUUGCAAGCUAUCACUUAGAGAUGGGCCUGCGCACCAUUAGCUAGUUGGUAGGGUAACGGCCUACCAAGGCAAAGAUGGUUAGCGGGUCUGAGAGGAUGAUCAGCAACACUGGAACUGAGACACGGUCCAGACUCCGACGGGAGGCAGCAGUGGGGAAUAUUGCGCAAUGGGCGAAAGCUUGACGCAGCAACGCCGCGUGAGUGAUGAAGGCCUUCGGGUCGUAAAGCUCUGUCGGGAGGAACGAAUGCUCCCAAGGUUAACAGCCUCGGGAGGUGACGGUACCUUCAAAGGAAGCACCGGCUAACUCUGUGCCAGCAGCCGCGGUAAAAC
rnacentral:rRNA from 1 species